CUCCAUCAGACGCUGGAAGGUAGCAGCGGCAUUUCUGAGCCCAUACGGCAUAGACUUGAAUUGAAAUAGCCCCUUGGUGGUGAUAAAAGCAGUUCUUUCCUUACUCUGUUCUUCCAUCUCCACCUGCCAGUAUCCAGACUGCAGAUCCAAGGAACUAAACCAAGAGGCUCCUUCCAGUGAUUCAAGGAUGUCGUGGAUCAACGGCAUUGGAUAAGCGUCUGCCACUGUCUUGCUGUUCAGCCUCCUAUAAUCCACGCAGAACCUGUGUGAGCCAUCAGGUUUGGGGACAAGUACCACCGGUGAAGACCAUGAUCUUAAUCCAUAUCUGCCUCGUCCCACUUCCAGGACUGCUCCCGUGUCUCUCAGGAAAUCCAACCCGGCAAUAAGAGGAAAUGCGAGGUGAGUGUCUUUUAGGAUAUAAGUAUCCAAACUGCAUUCUUGGUCAUGCCAUUGAAUCCUAAUCCUUUGCAGAUCUCUGGACUGGUGCACUGUGCCCUCCGCCAUUAUAAACCUCUGUGGAGUGGAGGUAACAACUGAUGGAAUCUCACCUUUCAACUGUUUCCACAGGCUUUCUUGCAUUAACGUGUAUGUGCUACCUGUGUCUAAUACAGCUUUCACUUCUUUGCCGUUCACUCUUACAGGCACCAUCAGGAGAGAUGACACUGGAUGGGGUUGUGCUAGUGUCACUCCAGCCAGGUUUUUGUUAGAGACAUAGGGCCCGGUAGUCAUAUGCAAAGUCCCUCAGACGUUGUUGUGGCUGUUGAACCAUUGUCCUCAGCUUUUCCUCCACUUCUGAGAGGUAAUCAUCUGAAAGAAAAGCAGUCAUGAAUGCUUCUUUGAAGGAUUUCCAAUCCAUUACCUUGACCUUCUCCGCUUU